rnacentral:rRNA from 1 species
GACGAACGCUGGCGGCGUGCCUAAUACAUGCAAGUUGAGCGAUGAAGCUUGGUGCUUGCACCAAUUUGAAGAGCAGCGAACGGGUGAGUAACGCGUGGGGAAUCUGCCUUUGAGCGGGGGACAACAUUUGGAAACGAAUGCUAAUACCGCAUAACAACUUUAAACAUAAGUUUUAAGUUUGAAAGAUGCAAUUGCAUCACUCAAAGAUGAUCCCGCGUUGUAUUAGCUAGUUGGUGAGGUAAAGGCUCACCAAGGCGAUGAUACAUAGCCGACCUGAGAGGGUGAUCGGCCACAUUGGGACUGAGACACGGCCCAAACUCCUACGGGAGGCAGCAGUAGGGAAUCUUCGGCAAUGGACGAAAGUCUGACCGAGCAACGCCGCGUGAGUGAGGAAGGUUUUCGGAUCGUAAAACUCUGUUGGUAGAGAAGAACGUUGGUGAGAGUGGAAAGCUCAUCAAGUGACGGUAACUACCCAGAAAGGGACGGCUAACUACGUG